ACAUGUCCUUUAUGUGUUAAUUUUAAGGUUUGACCUGCCCAAUGAUUAAUUUAAUGGCCGCAGUAUAUUAACUGUGCUAAGGUAGCAUAAUCAUUUGUCUUUUAAUUGUAGGCUAGUAUGAAAGGUUGGACGAGAAAUUGACUUUCUUUUAUAUAAUAAUUGAAUUUAAUUUUUAAGUUAAAGAGCUUAAAUUUUUUUAUGGGACGAGAAGACCCUAUAGAUCUUUAUAAUUAUAUUUUUUUAUUUAUUUUAGAGUUGAUUAUUUUUUUUAGUGAAUUAAUUAUUUGAUUGGGGUGAUUGAAGAAUUUAAAUAACUUCUUUUGUUUUUUUUCAUAAUUUUAUGUAUUUUUGAUCUUUUAUUAAGGAUUAUAAGAUUAAGUUACCUUAGGGAUAACAGCGUAAUUUUUUUGGAGAGUUCUUAUCGAUAAAGAAGUUUGCGACCUCGAUGUUGGAUUAAAAUAAGUUUCGGGUGCAGUAAUUUGAUUACUAGGUCUGUUCGACCUUUAAAUUUUUACAUGAUCU
rnacentral:rRNA from 1 species